GGGGGCCUGCAAGCGGUGGAGCAUGUGGUUUAAUUCGAUGCAACGCGAAGAACCUUACCAUCCCUUGACAUCCAGAGAAUCUUUCAGAGAUGAGAGAGUGCCUUCGGGAACUCUGAGACAGGUGCUGCAUGGCUGUCGUCAGCUCGUGUUGUGAGAUGUUGGGUUAAGUCCCACAACGAGCGCAACCCUUAUCCUUAGUUGCCAGCACAUAAUGGUGGGAACUCUAGGGAGACUGCCGGUGAUAAACCGGAGGAAGGUGGGGACGACGUCAAGUCAUCAUGGCCCUUACGGGAUGGGCUACACACGUGCUACAAUGGCGCACACAAAGGGCAGCUAACUAGCGAUAGUAUGCGAAUCUCAAAAAGUGCGUCGUAGUCCGGAUCGGAGUCUGCAACUCGACUCCGUGAAGUCGGAAUCGCUAGUAAUCGUGGAUCAAAAUGCCACGGUGAAUACGUUCCCGGGCCUUGUACACACC
rnacentral:rRNA from 1 species